rnacentral:rRNA from 1 species
UACGAAGGGGGCUAGCGUUGUUCGGAAUCACUGGGCGUAAAGCGCACGUAGGCGGAUCUUUAAGUCAGAGGUGAAAUCCCAAGGCUCAACCUUGGAACUGCCUUUGAUACUGGGGAUCUUGAGUCCGGGAGAGGUGAGUGGAACUGCGAGUGUAGAGGUGAAAUUCGUAGAUAUUCGCAAGAACACCAGUGGCGAAGGCGGCUCACUGGCCCGGUACUGACGCUGAGACGCGAAAGCGUGGGGAGCAAACAGG